AAAAGGACGAGGAGAGAAUGCGUUUAGCCUUGCCCUAGAAUCCGAAGCAGCCAGUACGAGGCGGUGGAUUUCUCUCUCACGGUCAUGGAUUCUUCCCUUACUCUUCCUGUACUCCUUCUCUGUGCUCAUCGUUUGAUUCGAUCUGUUGUGGUUGUGUUUGUUGUUGGGGGAUCGAGGCGGUCGGCCGGGGACGAGAUUAGGGUUGACAGAAGAGAGUGAGCACACGGCGGGGAGGGCAUCGGCGGCGGUGCCGUCGCUGUGGCGUGCUCACUCCUCUCUCUGUCAUCUCCAUCUCCCUGUGCGGGCCGCAGAAACUAAUCAAGGAUGCGUCUUUGUUUCCCCCUCUUCGGAUCGGUGAAGCAGCGGGGAGAAGUGGGAAAGAGCAGGGUGCAGGGCAUCAUCUCGAUGCGAUGGAAAUGCGUGCGGUUGUGCUUAUCUCAUGUCGGCCACUGUUGAUCUGGAGAGGAGGCUGGUCUCUGGAUGGGUUUCCGAGAAUAUUUCUCAUGGAUUGGAGUUGGACGCGUACGUGACUUUUGAGACGAAGGUACUUUGCGUUGGGGAACGGAAUUGGAUGGUAGAAGACGGGGAGUCAAGUUGAGUGAGAUCUGGCGAGAGCAAGUGCACGGCAGCUUGGGCUGUGAUCAUUCUCCCAGAACAAGUUUGGUGGAAAGCUUCUGUCGCUUAAGAUUCGAGGACACAUGGUGGCAAAAAGGCGAUUACACUCGUCCUCGGUGCCCCCGCCAUCCGUCUCAAGGCCAACACGAAUGAGGUAAAUCACGGGUGACUACUAGCCUUUGGAAUAGUGACUGGCGCAUGAGGGAGGACCUAGAUUCGAGGACACAUAUACAUUAAGGAGGCUUCCAAGAGUACAUUGGUUUUGGUUUAAAGUGAUUUGGAGUUCUCUAAGCUUAUCGGCCAAUUUUGAAUAAAACUAUUGUUGGACCUACACUAUUCGAAAAUUCAAAAGUUUGAUAUUUUUUGAAUCAAGAGAGUCCUAGGAACCAAUUGAUGGUGUUGUUUAGUAAGUAUCAUUGUUUUACACCAUAUAAUAAGCUCAUGACAAAUUUUAUUAAGCGUUUACAAGUUUAAAAAUUAUCCGCUCUCAAUUUAUGCGGUCUAAUUUAAAUCUAAGGGCAUAGAUACAUUAAGAAAACUUAUAGUAGAUUUUGGUUUGAAGUGAUUCAAGGUUCUAUAGGUAUGAAAUUUGUUGAUGGACCUACGCUAUUUGAAAAUUUAAAAGUUUAAUAUUUUUUGAAUGAGUAGUCCUAGGAAUCCAUUGGUGAUGUUAGUUAGUAAGUAUCAUUAUUUUACGUCUUCUAAUAAGCUUGUUGUGAUAAAUUUUAUCAAGCUUUUACCAAUUUAAAAUUUAACUACUCUCAAUUUACAUCAUCUAAUUCAAAUUUGAGGGCAUAGAUACAUUAAGGAAAUUUUCAGGAGUAUAUUAAUUUUGAAUUGUGUUAAUUUCAGGUACUUCAUAAAUUGAGAGUGAUAAAUUUUUAAAUAGAUAGAGAAAAAAAAUAUAAACACGCAAACCUAUGUAAUUAUUUCAAGGAGGGUAUAAUGAGAAUGCAUUGCAUGAUUUUGAUAUUAUGAAAGUUAGAUACGUGAAAUGAUAAAUCCCGAAACCUGAAUAUGCAGUUAAGUAAAAUACCGAUAAAAAGUAACAUUAAUUUGUGUCUUACAUUUAGUCUAUUAUAUUAUAUGAAGGUGAUGCAUAUGAAAAAUUAAGGAAUAACGAGGGGUUGUUAAGGCUUAGAUGUCGGAAUUAUGGGAAUUAAAUAUUUUGGAAAAGUUAAUGAGUUAAUUUUCUCUUUUUAAUAUAUAGAGUUGUUGCCAGAUAUACAUGUUAAAUUUAAAUGCACUUAUGGUGUUAGAGUGGUAAUUUAACUUGUGCUUCGACAAGGAUGCCAAGUUUUAAGUAGGGAGUUUAUGACGUCAAGUUUAGCCUCACAUGGAACUAAAAUGAAUUAAUUCUUCUAUUUGGUCAUGUUAUUUGAUCUCAACUAAUAGAUAUUGUCGCUUAUGAUACUCUACAAGGAUCAUACUCUACCUUCACUAUUAACCGUUUUACUAGAUAAGCAUCAUUCUCUGCAUGUAUAACAAAGAUCUACCUUCUUUUUCAUGGUAAAAUGGUUAUUGUUUACAUCAUCUUUUCUGAAGUAGAUUAAAGCUUUGUCCUAUUCAAAGCAACUUAAAGACAACAAUGUUGUUUCAAGAUUUCAUCUUAGGUCAUAUUCUAAACUAUACAAAUCAAAUAAAUUAUUUUGGCUAUCAUGUUUGCAAUAAGAAGAUGAUUCACUAGGUCAAAAUCUGCUAUUAUAUAAACGUCUAGUCAGAUAUCUUAUUUAAAUUACUUUUUUUUUCUAAAUUUAUUACAACCUUGAUCCGAUUGGUUAAAUAUAAUCAUGUGAUGAUUAACGAAAUUUCUAAUUUGAUUAGGCUCCACGAUCCUCUAAAUUUAACUAUUGUGUUACCUUAUGUAAUGGAUUGAGAACGGGGGAUAAAUUCUCUCAUGUGAUUUAUUGUAACGUGGAUUGGUUAAAUAUUAAACUAUUGACUACUAGUCAUUCGUGCAGUGACCAAAGUAUGGAGGAAGACAUACUCGAAUACAUCGAGUUUCGACCUCAUAAUCUAAUAUGGAAAAAUCAGUGAACAAAUGGGGAUAGAAGUGUUGGAGUAAUAGACAGAUUAUAGUCCAAACAAUUGAGAGCACUGUGCAAGUCAAUAGAAACAUGCUGCAUCAUCCCUACAAUUAAUGGAAAACAUAAAGUUGACCAGGAUGAAUGCAAAUUAACUCGGAGGAAGAAUUGAAAAGGUUUCAAUAUUUUUGAUAGCAAGUGCUUGUCAUCAUGGUCUUCUUUGAUGCUCUCUUAACCAUAGAGAUAGAGAUGAUUCCCAAGGUCACACGAGUGGAGUUAGUUUAUGAAAUAGGAAACAUAGUACUACCUUUUCUGCUCUGAUAUUAUUUCCAACUUUUGUCCAGCUCACGUACUAUUCAUGUUUUAUUAGAAGAGAAGGUACCUGUAGUACAUGGAUGUAGCUCACGUAGUAUUCAUGUUUUAUUAGGCGAGAUGGUUCCUGUAGUACAUCUAUUUUAUAUAUGUGAAAAGGUACACUUGAGAUGAAUCCUUAUGUAUUCUUUUUUGUUCACAAAGGACAAUUGGUGGCAAAUUUUUCGGGCGGGUUGUCACUGUCAACAAGCUUUCUGAGCAAGUGAUUAAUGAAGUUAUGCAUUUUAAAAAUUUAUUUCCUGUUAUUAUUAUUCCAUGCGUUCCCAAUUAUAUCUGAUUGGAUCGAUUUCAUAGCCACGUUGUUCUUUGAAUUUCCAUCCUACUGUCAUUUAUGUAUCAGUUGUCAGUAUUUGGAUGUCUUCCUUCCUUUUGUCGAUCAAAUAGAUUGAGAAUCCUUUUUACAAGGAUUGUGCUUUUUUUUUUCUUUCAAAAUAUUGAUUAGAUUUAUGACGUUUUUCUGAAAAUCAUAGAUCCUCUAUAUAUUUUAGUUCACCCAUGUGCUUUUAAUAAAAAAUAACGGUCUACUUCAUGUGCCACCAUAUCUAUGUUGGUUCUUCCUGAUAGUCUGCUCUUGGUUUUUUAGUGUACACUGAUCAUGAGUUGAGGCAUACUAAUAGUCUGCUCUUGGUUUUUUAGUGUACACUGAUCAUGAGUUGAGGCAUACAAGUCAUCACUUGAGAUGAUUAGAUAAAUUUGUUCGGUACAAAAGGACUAUUUUGCUUACAUAAUGAAACAGUUUGUUCUCUUUUAUCUGCUUUUAGAUUGAUUUUAUGUGUUCAUUCAAAACUUAAAACUUGAAGCUUCUGGUGUGCAGAAUUCAUUCCAUAUAUACAGUUUGUAACUUGCCCACUAAAUCUCCCAUACAUGUGUGAUUGAUCUAUUUUCUUACUAGCUCCACUCUUCAGAUCAUCGUAUUUAAGUGAAUCCAUCAAUUUUCUUGUCGAUCCUGAUCGUGGUCAACUGGGUUUAAAAUGGAUGCAGUUGCACGCUCUAAUAGAAUUUGGCUGCUCGAGUAAAACUUCAAAGUCUAUCAAGUUCUACCUCCUCAUUUCAGUGUCUGAUUAAGCUUUACAAAUUUGGGUAGCUACUAAUCUACUAUGCGAUAUUGUGUUUACAACAAUAUUCAUAAGGAAUGAAUCACAAGGAAGAAUACUUGUUCUUAUUCCAUUUAACAUCUUUAUGUGUUUGU